GUGGGGAAUAUUGGACAAUGGGCGAAAGCCUGAUCCAGCCAUGCCGCGUGUGUGAAGAAGGUCUUCGGAUUGUAAAGCACUUUAAGUUGGGAGGAAGGGCAGUAAGUUAAUACCUUGCUGUUUUGACGUUACCGACAGAAUAAGCACCGGCUAACUUCGUGCCAGCAGCCGCGGUAAUACGAAGGGUGCAAGCGUUAAUCGGAAUUACUGGGCGUAAAGCGCGCGUAGGUGGUUUUGUAAGUUGGAGGUGAAAUCCCCGGGCUCAACCUGGGAACUGCCUCGAAAACUGCAUGACUAGAGUACGGUAGAGGGUAGUGGAAUUUCCUGUGUAGCGGUGAAAUGCGUAGAUAUAGGAAGGAACACCAGUGGCGAAGGCGACUACCUGGACUGAUACUGACACUGAGGUGCGAAAGCGUGGGGAGCAAACAGGAUUAGAUACCCUUGUAGUCC
rnacentral:rRNA from 1 species